UUACAUCUGACAGACAGGUCCAAAAUCUUGCAUCACCAUUCUACAUUAUUCACUCUUUUUCAAGUACAAAUCAGAGCAAUAGAUCAUUACUUAUAUACCUCUCUUUACGGUUUUUGAAGAGAAAACUGGAAUGCAGUAGAUCAUAUGUUCGAGGGUAUGUACUCAAUGACUCGCACCAGUCAUGAUAGAUUCCGAUCAAGCCCCUUUCGAAAAUAAUGGACAAGGUAUCUUGUGCAUCAAUUGGUACAACGUUCAUCACCCAGAGAGGAAGCUCAUUAAGUGCCGCCGCAAACCUGUAAAACCACUGCCUAUAGUGUUGUAAGAUUUCUUUAUGAUAGAAACCUGUAAAAACAUUGUUCUAUUUCUUACCCUCCAUAACCAGCAUUCAUAUCCAUCACAUUUCUUAUACUAGCCCAGUUUAUAGCUAGAGCAUCAAAGUAGACAUCAGAUACAAGUGCAGCCCAAUGUUUGGUGUCCUCAUUGAAUAUAGCUUCGGCAUCCGGUUCAGCUGGAAGGCUUUGAGGCUUAUUCCUAAGCCUGUGGGGCCAUGGUGAG
rnacentral:lncRNA from 1 species